AGCCACCGGUCUAGAUCACUUCAUAUUCCGGUUUUCCAGCUCCACAACUGCGUGCCAUGGAUUCUGGCACGAUACGGCGCUGGUAUUACCCUCGGCUUUGUUCAUAGUGUACUUAGGGUUUCAUGCUAGGAGCAACCUUAAGAAGCUCAAUCACCGUCGAUCGUCUAUUAUGAUCGGAUACUAUGGACUUCUGUGGUUUGCUGCUCUUUUAAAUCUAGCUUGGUGCUUUCUUCAGGUAAUUUUAUCUUUUUCACUUCCUUUAGCGUGACGGUAAAUAUUUCCUUGUUAUAUUACUCGUCUUAUUUAUUCAAUUUCGAGAUAUUUUAAUGACUUGUGGUCCUGUGGAGUUGUACUUUUAUGUAGUUUACAGAUACGUACAUCUUAUACUCUGAAAAAUGCUAACUCAUUGUCUCAUGUUGGAAUUGGAUACGGCGCUUGUAUUACCCUCGGCUUUGUUCAUAGUGUACUUAGGGUUUCAUGCUAGGAGCAACCUUAAGAAGCUCAAUCACCGUCGAUCGUGUAUCAUGAUUGGAUACUAUGGACUUUUGUGGUUUGCUGCUCUUUUAAAUCUAGCUUGGUGCUUUCUUCAG
rnacentral:lncRNA from 1 species